ACGGGUGAGUAACGCGUAAAGAACUUGCCCUGCAGUCUGGGAUAACAGACGGAAACGACUGAUAAAACCUGAUAUAAUCAAGCCCACGCAUGUGGUGCUUGAUGAAAAGAAAUGCUGCAGGAGAGCUUUGCGUCCUAUUAGCUUGUUGGUGGGGUAAUAGCCCACCAAGGCAAUGAUAGGUAGCCGGCCUGAGAGGGUGACCGGCCACAAGGGGACUGAGAUACGGCCCUUACUCCUACGGGAGGCAGCAGUGGGGAAUAUUGGACCAUGGGGGCAACCCUGAUCCAGCAAUUCUGUGUGCACGAAGAAGGUUUUCGGAUUGUAAAGUGCUUUCAGCAGGGAAGAAGAAAAUGACUGUACCUGCAGAAGAAGCGACGGCUAAAUACGUGCCAGCAGCCGCGGUAAUACGUAUGUCGCAAGCGUUAUCCGGAAUUAUUGGGCAUAAAGGGCAUCUAGGCGGCCAGAUAAGUCUGGGGUGAAAACUUGCGGCUCAACCGCAAGCCUGCCCUGGAAACUAUAUGGCUAGAGUACUGGAGAGGUGGACGGAACUGCACGAGUAGAGGUGAAAUUCGUAGAUAUGUGCAGGAAUGCCGAUGAUGAAGAUAGUUCACUGGACGGUAACUGACGCUGAAGUGCGAAAGCUAGGGGAGCAAACAGGAUUAGAUACCCUGGUAGUCCU
rnacentral:rRNA from 1 species